CCCUAUUAUUAGGUUUAAAAAUAAGUUUGAGAGUAGGUUUUGAAACUGAAAACAAUCCAGAAUGGCGGUUUUUUUUAUUUUCAGAAAAAUGUGUUUCUAAAACGAAAUUGCACGAAGAUCUUUCUUACUCUGGAAGCCCAUCUUGUACACCGCCGUCUGAAGGGUCAAUAAAAACUGUUAACCCGAAUAUUAAUUUACAAAAAUAAUAAGUCAGGUAAGGUGCAGACAAUGGGUAAGAAGAGAUGCAUUUCACUAACUAACUAAAACGAAUAGGAGGCUGAAAAACCUUCUUGAAGAAGAAUUUGAAAGUAAGAAUUUUUUAUUAAAAAACUCUGAAUUUAUACCAAAAAAAUGUACACAUCGCCCG
rnacentral:rRNA from 1 species